AUUAUUAUUUCUAGCUAAUAUAUACAUCAAUUUAAUAAAUGAAAAUCAUUUACUUAUCAUAAAUAAUUAAAUUAAAAUAAUGAAAUUAAUUAAUAAGUAACAAAUUUAUUCAUUGCUUAAUAUGUAUACAUACAAUUAUUCCACAAAUAUUGGAGAGAAUAAUUUGAAAAUCAUAAUAAUAAUAUCAAAACAAAAAUACGAAAAAAUUCUUAUUAUAACAAUUUUAAUCAGAAAUCUGGAUCAAGAAACUGUUCAAGAAACUAAUUCAUGAUCUAUCAAUGGAGAACGUUUAAAGUUGAUUAUCGAAAUUUUAUAAACCUGACACGUUCAAUGACGCAGUUUAAUUACAUGACAAGCAAAAACAGGAUUGCUCGACCACGACAAAGCGUAAUUUGAUUACUCGUCGGUGGAUGGAACGCUGAUGCCAUUGGUCGAUGCAAUUUCGAUCGAUCUUCGAUUUUUCAUCCCACAAACAGCAUUACAUCUUCCAAAAUGUAAUUACUCUGUUAUCACUUAUGAUAUUCGAAGAAGCGGAAAUAGCAGUUAAAUAACAUUUGAAAUUUACUUAACGUUUUCUAUUAUAUCAAUCGGUCUCUAUAAUUUACCAUAUUAAUAUAUGUUUACCGAGUAAAAUUUAAAUUUAAAUAAAAAAACAUAGUAAUUAUGACGCAUGAAUUAACAGACAGCAUUAUCUUAUAAAUUAUUGCCUACUGUAUCUGACAUAAGGUAUUUUACGAGCGGUUGAGAAUGUAAAUUUACCACAUGCUCGCACGUGAGCAUAUACCACGGUUAAUAGUCGAUAAAGCGGUCGAUACUGAUUGGCGUGGUAUCGUGCAGGUGUACCACUUUUACGUACUACAUGAUAGACGUGUGAAGCAUUGAAGUUCGUCUGAUAAUUAUUCAGAUAAAUCAACAAUUUGCAGAGUUUUAUUUUUCAAGCAAAUGAUUUUUCAGUUUUUCAAAAAAGAAACUCAUUCAUCAGUAAAGGACCAGUAACCUUUGAACCUUUCACACUGGGCUACUAUCAAUCAAUAUUCAUAUAACAUGUAAUAGCCAUUCACCGUUCAUUUUAAACGCAAAAGACGUCGCCAGUUACUUGCCGCGAAAUCGUCUUCGGCAACAUUCAAGAUAAUAAUUGUCAGAAAGAAACGACCGAUAGAUAGACUGGUCGAUAGAACUUAGGGUGGCAUAGCGUGGUUCAUACUCGUGUUCCGUGUACACAUGAAGCUGCGAUACACGCGCCAUACUCGAGCACACAGAACCACUAUGGGGAAAGAGAGACGGAAAAGGAGAGGCAGAGAGAGAGAAAGGGAGAGGGCAGACGACAUGCGCCGGCCCUCGUUGCUGCAUGUUAUAAUGUUCGAAGCCCACGAACAGAACGAACGUUGGACGACAGUCAUUCAGAGCUCGACCAGUGUGCCGUACGUUUCGUGGCUCCUCUCAUCCUCGUGCGACAUCGUGUUCGUUCACAUCCGCCCUCGGUUCCCGGCAUCGACGAUUAGACUACCUGAGAGCCGUCAAUUAACCAGAACAGGAACUAAAAAUAUAGGAAAGAACGAUGCUCUGAAUGUGAUCAUCGCGUUCACACCGGACAUUUAUUUCCCGAUGAUUUUUCUCUAUGAUGCGCUAAUAGAGGAUAGACAUUAGUGACCAGUGAUAUUUGGAAACACUAGACAUCUUUAAGGGGUUAAAUAGUUCCGAAUACAUCUGAAUAUUCGGUAAGUAAUUUUCAAUAAAUUUUUAUUGUUAAUGUUUAAUAUAUAUGGAGAGUUGUACAAACGUGAUGAAUAUUGAAUGAAAACUCAGAUAUUCAAUGCGAAUCACUGUAAAUAUAUAAAAGUUGAGUAGUUGAGUAAUCGUUGAGUAAUCUUGUUAGAUUAGUCGAUAAUGUUACGAACUAUAUUAUGCAAGUUGUGUUAUGGCUACUGACGCCAUUGGAGUUAAGAAAUAUAUUAUUUCUUAAGAAAAUUAAUAAAAUUAAAGAGUUUAUUGACUGA